AAUAAGUGUAAUUUUGCACUAUUCACGUUCAACAUUUGACCGUUCGUCUUAUUUGAAAUUUUUUUAUGAUUAGUAUUUUUAUUGCUAUUAAAUGAUAAAACAUGAAUAAUUCUUUAUGUGUGACUAAAUAUUUUUAAAUUUUUUAUAAAUUUUUCAAAUAAAACGGACGGUCAAAUAUUUGACACGGAUAUCCAUGGCUACACUUAGU
rfam:Oryza barthii chromosome 6, whole genome shotgun sequence.